UGAGGAAUAUUGGUCAAUGGGCGAUGGCCUGAACCAGCCAAGUAGCGUGAAGGAUGACUGCCCUAUGGGUUGUAAACUUCUUUUAUAAAGGAAUAAAGUCGGGUAUGCAUACCCGUUUGCAUGUACUUUAUGAAUAAGGAUCGGCUAACUCCGUGCCAGCAGCCGCGGUAAUACGGAGGAUCCGAGCGUUAUCCGGAUUUAUUGGGUUUAAAGGGAGCGUAGAUGGAUGUUUAAGUCAGUUGUGAAAGUUUGCGGCUCAACCGUAAAAUUGCAGUUGAUACUGGAUGUCUUGAGUGCAGUUGAGGCAGGCGGAAUUCGUUGUGUAGCGGUGAAAUGCUUAGAUAUCACGAAGAACUCCGAUUGCGAAGGCAGCCUGCUAAGCUGCAACUGACAUUGAGGCUCGAAAGUGUGGGUAUCAAACAGG
rnacentral:rRNA from 1 species